rnacentral:rRNA from 1 species
CAAUACCACCCUGAAUGAACCCAGUCUCAUCCUGAUCUUGGAAACUAAGCAGGGUCGGGCCUGGUUACUACUUGGAUGGGAGAAAGUAGGCUG